AUUCAACUACAGAAACACCUA
rnacentral:tRNA from 3 species